CUACGGGGCGCUGCAGUGGGGAAUUUUGGACAAUGGGCGAAAGCCUGAUCCAGCCAUGCCGCGUGCAGGAUGAAGGCCUUCGGGUUGUAAACUGCUUUUGUACGGAACGAAAAGCCUCUUUCUAAUAAAGAGAGGUCAUGACGGUACCGUAAGAAUAAGCACCGGCUAACUACGUGCCAGCAGCCGCGGUAAUACGUAGGGUGCGAGCGUUAAUCGGAAUUACUGGGCGUAAAGCGUGCGCAGGCGGUGAUGUAAGACAGAUGUGAAAUCCCCGGGCUCAACCUGGGAACUGCAUUUGUGACUGCAUCGCUGGAGUGCGGCAGAGGGGGAUGGAAUUCCGCGUGUAGCAGUGAAAUGCGUAGAUAUGCGGAGGAACACCGAUGGCGAAGGCAAUCCCCUGGGCCUGCACUGACGCUCAUGCACGAAAGCGUGGGGAGCAAACAGGAUUAGAUACCCCCGUAGUC
rnacentral:rRNA from 1 species